CCACAUCAUGUUGAAACACUGGUUCUUAUAUGAUCACUGAAGUUAAGCAACAUUGAGCUUGAGCGGUACUUCGAUGAGUGAAUGCUUGGGAAUACCAGGUGCUGUAAG